UGGGGAAUAUUGCACAAUGGGCGCAAGCCUGAUGCAGCCAUGCCGCGUGUAUGAAGAAGGCCUUCGGGUUGUAAAGUACUUUCAGCGGGGAGGAAGGGAGUAAAGUUAAUACCUUUGCUCAUUGACGUUACCCGCAGAAGAAGCACCGGCUAACUCCGUGCCAGCAGCCGCGGUAAUACGGAGGGUGCAAGCGUUAAUCGGAAUUACUGGGCGUAAAGCGCACGCAGGCGGUUUGUUAAGUCAGAUGUGAAAUCCCCGGGCUCAACCUGGGAACUGCAUCGGAUACUGGCAAGCUUGAGUCUCGUAGAGGGGGGUAGAAUUCCAGGUGUAGCGGUGAAAUGCGUAGAGAUCUGGAGGAAUACCGGUGGCGAAGGCGGCCCCCUGGACGAAGACUGACGCUCAGGUGCGAAAGCGUGGGGAGCAAACA
rnacentral:rRNA from 1 species